UGGGGAAUAUUGGGCAAUGGAGGCAACUCUGACCCAGCCAUGCCGCGUGGGUGACGAAGGUCUUCGGAUUGUAAAGCCCUUUCGGCGGGGACGAUGAUGACGGUACCCGCAGAAGAAGCCCCGGCUAACUUCGUGCCAGCAGCCGCGGUAAUACGAAGGGGGCUAGCGUUGUUCGGAAUUACUGGGCGUAAAGGGCGUGUAGGCGGUCCGCUAAGUCAGGUGUGAAAGGCCUGGGCUCAACCCAGGAAAUGCGCCUGAGACUGACGGACUUGAGUCCGGGAGAGGAUGGUGGAACUCCCAGUGUAGAGGUGAAAUUCGUAGAUAUUGGGAAGAACACCCGUGGCGAAGGCGGCCAUCUGGACCGGUACUGACGCUAAGGCGCGACAGCGUGGGGAGCAAACAGGAUUAGAUACCCCGGUAGUCCCUGAGCGGGCUGGCAAGGCGCAU
rnacentral:rRNA from 1 species